AUUGAACGCUGGCGGCAGGCUUAACACAUGCAAGUCGAGCGGGGGAAGGUAGCUUGCUACUGGACCUAGCGGCGGACGGGUGAGUAAUGCUUAGGAAUCUGCCUAUUAGUGGGGGACAACAUCUCGAAAGGGAUGCUAACACCGCAUACGUCCUACGGGAGAAAGCAGGGGAUCUUCGGACCUUGCGCUAAUAGAUGAGCCUAAGUCGGAUUAGCUAGUUGGUGGGGUAAAGGCCUACCAAGGCGACGAUCUGUAGCGGGUCUGAGAGGAUGAUCCGCCACACUGGGACUGAGACACGGCCCAGACUCCUCCGGGAGGCAGCAGUGGGGAAUAUUGGACAAUGGGGGGAACCCUGAUCCAGCCAUGCCGCGUGUGUGAAGAAGGCCUUAUGGUUGUAAAGCACUUUAAGCGAGGAGGAGGCUACUCUAGUUAAUACCUAGGGAUAGUGGACGUUACUCGCAGAAUAAGCACCGGCUAACUCUGUGCCAGCCGCCGCCGUAA
rnacentral:rRNA from 1 species